rnacentral:rRNA from 1 species
UACGGGGGGGGCAAGCGUUGUUCGGAAUUACUGGGCGUAAAGGGCUCGUAGGUGGCCAACUAAGUCAGACGUGAAAUCCCUCGGCUUAACCGGGGAACUGCGUCCGAUACUGGUUGGCUUGAGUUUGGGAGAGGGAUGCGGAAUUCCGUGGUGUAGCGGUGAAAUGCGCAGAUAUCAGGAAGAACACCCGUGGCGAAGGCGGCUCUCUGGGACGGUACUGACGCUGAGACGCGAAAGCGUGGGGAGCAAAC